UACAGAGGGGGCAAGCGUUGUUCGGAAUUACUGGGCGUAAAGGGCGCGUAGGCGGCCUGUUAAGUCGAACGUGAAAUCCCCGGGCUCAACCCGGGAACUGCGUCCGAUACUGGCAGGCUUGAAUCCGGGAGAGGGAUGCGGAAUUCCAGGUGUAGCGGUGAAAUGCGUAGAGAUCCGGAGGAACACCAGUGGUGCAAACGGCGCCCUGGGUCCGAACUGACGCUGAUGCACGAAAGCGUGGGGAGCAAACAGG
rnacentral:rRNA from 1 species